UACGUAGGGCGCAAGCGUUGUCCGGAAUUAUUGGGCGUAAAGAGCUCGUAGGUGGCGUGUCGCGUCUGCCGUGAAAGCCCAUGGCUUAACUGUGGGUCUGCGGUGGAUACGGGCAGGCUGGAGGCUGGUAGGGGCAAGCGGAAUUCCUGGUGUAGCGGUGAAAUGCGCAGAUAUCAGGAGGAACACCGGUGGCGAAGGCGGCUUGCUGGGCCAGUUCUGACGCUGAGGAGCGAAAGCGUGGGGAGCGAACGGG
rnacentral:rRNA from 1 species